GAUGAACGCUGGCGGCGUGCCUAAUACAUGCAAGUCGAGCGAACAGAUAAGGAGCUUGCUCCUUUGACGUUAGCGGCGGACGGGCGAGUAACACGUGGGUAACCUACCUAUAAGACUGGAAUAACUCCGGGAAACCGGGGCUAAUGCCGGAUAACAUUUAGAACCGCAUGGUUCUAAAGUGAAAGAUGGUUUUGCUAUCACUUAUAGAUGGACCCGCGCCGUAUUAGCUAGUUGGUAAGGUAACGGCUUACCAAGGCAACGAUACGUAGCCGACCUGAGAGGGUGAUCAGCCACACUGGAACUGAGACACGGUCCAGACUCCUACGGGAGGCAGCAGUAGGGAAUAUUCCGCAAUGGGCGAAAGCCUGACGGAGCCACGCCGCGUGAGUGAUGAAGGUCUUCGGAUCGUAAAACUCUGUUAUUAGGGAAGAACAAAUGUGUAAGUAACUGUGCACGUCUUGACGGUACCUAAUCAGAAAGCCACGGCUAACUACGUG
rnacentral:rRNA from 1 species